UACGGAGGAGGCAAGCGUUAUCCGGAAUUAUUGGGCGUAAAGCGUCCGCAGGUGGCACCUCAAGUCUGCUGUCAAAGACCGGGGCUUAACCCCAGAAAGGCAGUGGAAACUGAAGUGCUAGAGUGCAGUAGGGGUAGAGAGAAUUCCCGGUGUAGCGGUGAAAUGCGCAGAUAUCGGGAAGAACACCCGUGGCGAAGGCGGCUCUCUGGGACGGUACUGACGGCUGAGACGCGAAAAGCGUGGGGAGCGAACAGG
rnacentral:rRNA from 1 species